rnacentral:rRNA from 1 species
GGGGGACAACAUUUCGAAAGGAAUGCUAAUACCGCAUACGUCCUACGGGAGAAAGCAGGGGAUCUUCGGACCUUGCGCUAAUAGAUGAGCCUAAGUCGGAUUAGCUAGUUGGUGGGGUAAAGGCCUACCAAGGCGACGAUCUGUAGCGGGUCUGAGAGGAUGAUCCGCCACACUGGGACUGAGACACGGCCCAGACUCCUACGGGAGGCAGCAGUGGGGAAUAUUGGACAAUGGGCGCAAGCCUGAUCCAGCCAUGCCGCGUGUGUGAAGAAGGCCUUAUGGUUGUAAAGCACUUUAAGCGAGGAGGAGGCUACUUUAGUUAAUACCUAGAGAUAGUGGACGUUACUCGCAGAAUAAGCACCGGCUAACUCUGUGCCAGCAGCCGCGGUAAUACAGAGGGUGCAAGCGUUAAUCGGAUUUACUGGGCGUAAAGCGCGCGUAGGCGGCUAAUUAAGUCAAAUGUGAAAUCCCCGAGCUUAACUUGGGAAUUGCAUUCGAUACUGGUUAGCUAGAGUGUGGGAGAGGAUGGUAGAAUUCCAGGUGUAGCGGUGAAAUGCGUAGAGAUCUGGAGGAAUACCGAUGGCGAAGGCAGCCAUCUGGCCUAACACUGACGCUGAGGUGCGAAAGCAUGGGGAGCAAACAGGAUUAGAUACCCUGGUAGUCCAUGCCGUAAACGAUGUCUACUAGCCGUUGGGGCCUUUGAGGCUUUAGUGGCGCAGCUAACGCGAUAAGUAGACCGCC